UACGUAGGGGGGCAAGCGUUGUCCGGAUUUAUUGGGCGUAAAGAGCGUGUAGGCGGCCAGAUAGGUCUGCUGUGAAAACUCGAGGCUCAACCUCGAGAUGUCGGCGGAAACCAUUUGGCUAGAGUCCGGAAGAGGAAAGUGGAAUUCCUGGUGUAGCGGUGAAAUGCGCAGAUAUCAGGAGGAACACCAAUUGCGAAGGCAGCUCGCUGGGACGUUACUGACGCUGAGACGCGAAAAGCGUGGGGGAGCAAACAGG
rnacentral:rRNA from 1 species